rnacentral:rRNA from 1 species
UACGUAGGGUGCAAGCGUUGUCCGGAAUUAUUGGGCGUAAAGAGCUCGUAGGCGGGCUGUCGCGUCUGCUGUGAAAACUCAGGGCUUAACCCUGAGCUUGCAGUGGGUACGGGCAGACUAGAGUGCGGUAGGGGAGACUGGAAUUCCUGGUGUAGCGGUGAAAUGCGCAGAUAUCAGGAGGAACACCGGUGGCGAAGGCGGGUCUCUGGGCCGUAACUGACACUGAGGCGCGAAAGCGUGGGGAGCAAACAGG